GACGCGGGGCCGUGGGUCCGUCGCAGCCUUUGGCGUCCGAACUCGUUCCUCGGAUAGUCUUCUUCUACAGAGGUUUGAAGAGAGGAGGUGGCUCGUCUCCGCCACCGAGGUGUCAUCCCUUCUUCUGAGACGCACACCUUUGCGGAGCAUCAGUGCAGACCCAGGUCUCCGUCCCCGAAAUAGCUUUUUUCUGAGGCGCGACUGCCAGAUUUUCGAGCUCCUGUCAGAAAGUUCUGGAAGUUGCAGACGGAAAAUGGGAGAAGGGACGCCCUUCCCUGUGUUCCUCGCCAGGUCGCUCAGAGCCGCAGGUGCCUGCGGUUUCUCAGACUUUGUCCCAACUUCAACAGUGGAAAUGGAUGAAUAGGCCUCUGCCAGGAUUGUGGAAGAGACCUUGUUGAUGGACGUUCCUAAAAAGCAAAGGCACUUAGAAAAGGUUUCUACUGCCCGCUGCUAUUUCUCAAAAGGAUAAAUGUAUUUGUAACGUUGCAGUUCAGGUUCGUUUCUCUAUGGGUCCUCCACACACUUCCCCUGAUGUUUUACGAAUUGAAAAAUACUUCUUUUUUCCCUCCUCAUGUUGUUCUUUCUCUCAAACACCAAAGGCCUUGUUUUCUCUUUAUCCAAAGUGAAUGUACCCAUUUAGAGAUGUCACUCAGAAAAAUACAUCUAAAUCCUUAGAAGUAAAUCCCAGGAAUCUUUUAAAAAUUUAUAUUCAAUAUUGGAAACUACCUAGGGUAACUCCCUUUGUUCAGUAGGUUAAACACUAGACAGCUGUCUUAAAACGAAGUUUGGUAAUAUGGAGAUGAUAAAUAAACACUGUUCUGAAUUAUAGAAUAAGCAUCUCCACUUUAAACAAAUUAGCAUUUAUUGCAUAAUCGUUACUUACCAUCAUGUUUGCUUAUUAUUAAACAGCGUAUGUUAAACUCAAGACAUCUAUCCUUUGACAAAUGAAAGUUGAUAAAACUAUUUGAUUUUAAUAUUUCUGAAAGCUCCCAAUACAAAUCUUGGGUGUACUAAACAGAUUGUUAAGCCAUUAUAAAUACUCUUUAAAAAUAUUAUUAGAAAAUUAAAAUGAAGGCUGCCUUAAUGAAAUUAACUGAAUGGAAAUAAAUCUAAAAGGAAAAUGUAAUCAUAGUUCUAUGAGUCCUCACAUAAAAUAUGGAUAUGUCAAAGUUACCUUGGUUUACAGUGUUAGGGAAAAAAGUGAUUUCGAGAAAGCAGGCAGACUUUUCGUAAAAUAAUUAGGUUUGGAAAUUCAGAAAUAUAAACAAGGAGUUGCCGUUGAACUUAACUAACAAACUUAGAAGCUGAAUCAGUUUGUCUCGUAUCAAAAGUGAGAUUCCUAUAAUUUAAAGCCGCAGUGACAGUGGAAAGCAUUAUAAAUUACUGAGAAGUAUAGAUUAGAGCCCUAAUAUUUUCAAACCUAUGAACCAGGAUAGUAACAAAAGUAUAGGCUUCGGAUAGUCCUAAAUUGGAGUUCUUGUGCAGCCAUUAUAGCUUUAUGGACUUUGGCCAAGUUGCUGUUCUGAGUUUGUUUCCUCAUCCAUAAAGUGAAAAUAAUUUUUAUUUAAUAAAGGUGUAGGAUAAACAUAAUUAAACCUACUUCUGAGUUAUGAAAUUUACCAACAUAGCAUGUGUAAAGAACCUGAUAGAGAGUGGUUAGUCGAAUACUAUUUGUCCUCUCAUUGAUCAUCAUUGCCUGUGGUCUGCUCUGCCUUCCCUUAGCUAAGGGAACUAGCAUUGAGUUGAAGUGUGUAUUUUUACCUUUGUUGUAUCUAGGCCUAAUGCUUGGAAAACCGCCCUUCAUAUUUGGGACUCUGUAUAAUUCUUCAAAUACAUAGUAGUGAAUUUGGGACGUAAUUUCUUUGUGAGCAUAAUUUCUAGUUAGGCUAUAUAUUGUGCCACAUAGGUUAUGUAUGUCCCAAUAAGCUGAAAUUAUAAAACUGUAAAAAUCGAUAAAUCUAGAGACAGGAUCAUAUUAGUUUCUAAAUAAUAAAAACUGAAGGAUAAAAAUUUUUAUGCCUGCCUACCAGCUUCUAAAACUUGUAGAUUAUCAACCUUUUGAAUAUGGGAGAAAGAGAUGUAGAAAAGGACUGUGAAAAGAGAAGAUACAGGAGAGAAUAGAUGAUUCCACAGUAGCUAUAAGCUGUGGAAUCUAUCCCAUGGUGGGAACUGUGGGCUCCGAUCUUUUCACAAUCUCCUUAGCCUAGACUAUGUUUUAAUUUUUUUUUUUCCCUUUCAGAACAUUUUCGACGUCUUAUUUCUAAAUGUAAUUUUCUGACUACUUGCCCUUUUUUUCUUUAGAAAUGAGAAUGGUAAAUUAUAAUGACCAUAGGCUUUUGUCUGAAGCCCAAAACAUUUCUUUAGCUUUUCCUCCAAAUUAUAAGUAUGUUUUGUCCACAAAAUUGCAAUUUAAGUAUUUUCUACCCUUGCAUUGUAAUUUUUGCUUGCCUCUAGGCGUUUUCCAACUCUUUGUUCUUAAAAUGUGAAAUACAUAAGGAUGAACACUGCAUUCCAGAUAGGACUUCCUUACUCUCAUGAACACAUGAACGAGCAAUAUUUGAAUUUUCCUCCUUUAGCAUGCAUACAAGGAUUCUGUUUUUGCAUGUUCACCCUGAGACCAAGCAGUACCAGCUAUAUUUGUUUCAACAGUUUUAGCAAGUCCCCUUCUUUAUUUCAUUCUUGAUAGCAUAUCCUCUUUUUGGCAGAACACAAGACAUCUUUCUCUCUGUUUUCUUUGGCAAGUUAUUUUCUUAUCUCAAAUUCUUUUUACCCAGUUUGACAGACUGGAUUUGAUCCAGGAAAUAAGAAGUAUUCUAUUUCCCUUGAACUAACUGUCUUGGAAGUUUGUAAGCUAGGUUAAGAAGACUGGGGAUUUUAUCUUCCUGUAUGUAUAAAAUGCAUAAGCUCUCUUAAAAUGUCUAUGAAUAUCACUAAGAAUAGGCAGUUUUGUUUAAUAUUUCCUAUUUGGCUCUCCUUGACUCAGAAUCUAUUUUAAAUUUUAUUUUCAUCUUGCCUUGCUAAGAUCCUUUAAGAUUAACUCCUCAUUUUAACAGAAAACAUUAGGGUAGUUUACUUAUGAAAACGAGGGCAUUUUUUCCACGUGUAUUCCCUGUCAUUAUCUUUAUACUUUGCCACUUUCUCCUGUCCUGCUGCUCUGUUAACCCACUUCUUUAUAAAUGUCAUUGUUAAUGUACUGUUGCAAGUCUUCUGAAACACCCUGGUCCCCUUGCUAAUGUUAAUUAUUUAAAGAUGUAGUGACACCCUUCCUUGUAAAAGACUGUUCAGGUAGCUGCACACAGGGAUCUGUGGCAUUCAGCAGCCAUUGUGGUCUUAAUUACCAGUCGAGGGUUCUGCUUUCCCAUGGCAGAGUCCCAGUUAUAGUGACAGAAUAGCAGUAAACUUGGAUACUGCAGGGGUGAUGAAUAUCAUUUCCCCCAUGCAACCUCCAAGUGCCAUGGCUUUAGGAUUUAUGUGAAUGUUACGUAUAGCAGUGUUUAAGAGAAUUUGUUCUUGUUCUCCCAAGUUAAAUGUUUCAUUUUUCCUGGACUAAAAUCUUGAUAAGUAAACUAGCAAAUGAUUUUCCCCUUCUUUCCUUUUUAAAUUCAUUUUGAGUACAAGCCUUUCUGGGGCUUACUUUUUUAGAAAUAGCUUAUGUACAACUCAUUCAGAUUUUUUAUUGAUCUUUGUGGAAAACUGAAUUCUGAAUUGUGCUAGUAAAUUAUCGGUGAUAGUUACUACCGCUGGUCUCCAGAUACCUAAAACAUAACCUUUAUUCAAGAAAUGAUUUCAAGACCUAUGUAUGGUAUAGUCUCCAAUAUGCUACUUACUGUUCUUUUUUCCCCCACUGCUCUUUUACUUUAAUGAAUAUUCAGUGUCUCAGUUGAAUUAUUCUAAAUAAAGGGGGAAAACAUUGACCUCUUUAUUAUAAUAUACUCACAGUCAAUCUACAUAUGGAUGAGUAAGCAGUUUGGAUAAUGUUGAUGAUUUGAAGAUACCAUGCAUCCCUAUGAAUACCUCACUGAAAC
rnacentral:lncRNA from 1 species